GUGACGAGCGGCGGACGGGUGAGUAAUGUCUGGGAAACUGCCUGAUGGAGGGGGAUAACUACUGGAAACGGUAGCUAAUACCGCAUAACGUCGCAAGACCAAAGUGGGGGACCUUCGGGCCUCAUGCCAUCAGAUGUGCCCAGAUGGGAUUAGCUAGUAGGUGGGGUAACGGCUCACCUAGGCGACGAUCCCUAGCUGGUCUGAGAGGAUGACCAGCCACACUGGAACUGAGACACGGUCCAGACUCCUACGGGAGGCAGCAGUGGGGAAUAUUGCACAAUGGGCGCAAGCCUGAUGCAGCCAUGCCGCGUGUGUGAAGAAGGCCUUCGGGUUGUAAAGCACUUUCAGCGGGGAGGAAGGCGGUGAGGUUAAUAACCUUGGCGAUUGACGUUACCCGCAGAAGAAGCACCGGCUAACUCCGUGCCAGCAGCCGCGGUAAUACGGAGGGUGCAAGCGUUAAUCGGAAUUACUGGGCGUAAAGCGCACGCAGGCGGUCUGUCAAGUCGGAUGUGAAAUCCCCGGGCUCAACCUGGGAACUGCAUUCGAAACUGGCAGGCUAGAGUCUUGUAGAGGGGGGUAGAAUUCCAGGUGUAGCGGUGAAAUGCGUAGAGAUCUGGAGGAAUACCGGUGGCGAAGGCGGCCCCCUGGACAAAGACUGACGCUCAGGUGCGAAAGCGUGGGGAGCAAACAGGAUUAGAUACCCUGGUAGUCCACGCCGUAAACGAUGUCGAUUUGGAGGUUGUGCCCUUGAGGCGUGGCUUCCGGAGCUAACGCGUUAAAUCGACCGCCUGGGGAGUACGGCCGCAAGGUUAAAACUCAAAUGAAUUGACGGGGGCCCGCACAAGCGGUGGAGCAUGUGGUUUAAUUCGAUGCAACGCGAAGAACCUUACCUGGUCUUGACAUCCACAGAACUUACCAGAGAUGGUUUGGUGCCUUCGGGAACUGUGAGACAGGUGCUGCAUGGCUGUCGUCAGCUCGUGUUGUGAAAUGUUGGGUUAAGUCCCGCAACGAGCGCAACCCUUAUCCUUUGUUGCCAGCGGUUAGGCCGGGAACUCAAAGGAGACUGCCAGUGAUAAACUGGAGGAAGGUGGGGAUGACGUCAAGUCAUCAUGGCCCUUACGACCAGGGCUACACACGUGCUACAAUGGCAUAUACAAAGAGAAGCGACCUCGCGAGAGCAAGCGGACCUCAUAAAGUAUGUCGUAGUCCGGAUUGGAGUCUGCAACUCGACUCCAUGAAGUCGGAAUCGCUAGUAAUCGUAGAUCAGAAUGCUACGGUGAAUACGUUCCCGGGCCUUGUACACACCGCCCGUCACACCAUGGGAGUGGG
rnacentral:rRNA from 1 species